CAGAGACUCGGAGCGGGACGCGCCUGGGGCGGGGACGUGCGGCUCCCGAGCAGGGACAGGGGUUGACUUACUGAGGGAGAAUGCAUCCUCUGACUCCAUAUACCAUUAGAGGAAACACGAGCUGGCAGAAAUCCUCAGGGGUGCCAGGCUCAGAGAAAUGUACCCAAGGACACAGUCAGAAGCAGGAGAAAAGUGAUGGCAGAGGCAGAUGGAGCAGGGUCCAGUUGUUUUGCAGAAAAAGGACCCCAGAGCUGCUCACAGUACCAGAUGCCACUGGGGUCUGUUGCAUCUGUUUGCAGUUGUCACUUCUGCUGCUUGUUAUCACUGGGCACAAGUUUGUUUAUAUCUGACUGAAACAAAAGCAUUUCCUGGCAUGUUUUAGGGCUGGUAGGAAGUUACCACAAACAUGCACAGGAAAAAUAACAAUAAGAAUGUGCACUGACGUAGCAGUGAGACCAGAACAUGUUACUGCAGGCAGGUGUGCAGAGAGCUCAUUUCUUAUAGUGAGGUACAUCACUACUGUGCACUAGAAUCUAAACAGCUAUACGCAACAGAAAGAGCAAAAAUAGGCAGGUUUCCAAUUUUUGAUUCAUGGGUGUUUUUCUCCUGAUAUUAAUAAAGAUGAAUCUGAGACCAACUUCCAAUUUUUUUCAGCUGUUCAAAAUGCCUUAAAAAGAACACAUGGGAAACCAGGGAUUAUCAAAGUUCCAAACAGGAACACAUCUACAUGUAUAUGUAGCCUAUUCAUUUUCUGCUCCUACAUUCAUAAUACAUUUUAUUCCACAGCUACAGCCUUGAUAAAAUCAGAAUUAUGGGAUGAGAAGCAGGAGCAGCCCUGCAGAUUGAAUUAGAUGUGAAAGUUCAUUGUUUGCACCCAUAAAUCAUGCAAGUAUGCAGAGCCCAUGCUGUUCUAGCAGGGUUGUGUCCACUAGUAACGAACUGCUGCCACCAGUGGGCUGCAGUUUGUAUUGACAUAUGCUUGUAGUGCUGCCCAUCUAGGACAUGACAAUAAAAGCCCAAAUAUGCUGUGUUUCCAGGUCCACAGUGAAGGCAUGCCUGCACAGGGCAGUUGUAGGGAGCUGUGUCUGAAGUCCAGAAAGUCAUGUCUGUCUCUCCAAUACACAGUAGACAUAGCAGUUACUCUGUUGGUUUUACCCUCACUUGCAAAUUCUGCUAGUAAUUUUUUCCUGCUAAACUUCACUGCACGUCUGGGAGUGUUAGUCUUCCCACAAUGGCAUACUUGGCAGAAAUACCUUUGAAUAUGUAUGACUUGUAGGAAUGAACUGGUAGUGAUUGCCAUUUUGCACAGGUCAGACAUCCAUAUUAAUGGCAGGCUAAACUUCUGACACUGAAGAACAUUUUCAGAAGAAAAGGUACGCACUGUGUCCUGACAUACACGAAGCAUGACACCUCUGAGUGUCCAGUGCCUCACUCUUGCCAAAGAUCCAGAAAUGGAAUCACUUGAGAAUGCCUUAGUGCUCACUCAGACCAUGAUUAACAGGCACAAGGAAACCUGAUUCCUCAAAAGCAUGACAUUUUCCCACUUUUUUUGCAUCAUAAAAUACUGCAAAAGAUUGUACUGAUGAUAAUCAUUACACAUGUGUUUAUGAGCAUACGAUAAAUAAAAUAAGAGUAUCAUAGAAUCAUUUCAGUUGGAAAAGACUUUCUGGAUCAAGUUUAACCACCAACCUGACCUACCGAGUCCCAUCACUAAACCUUGUACCUUACUGCCAUGUCCAUACAUCACACAAAUAACUCCAGGGACGGGGACUUCACCAAUUUCCUGGGAAAAGUGUUCCAUGAAUGUAUAUAAUUCACACAUAAUGUAAUGUAAUGUAAAUGUAAUGUAAUACACAAAUAAUAUGAUUACUAUGUCAAUAUAACAUCAUAACAUGUACUACAUAAUGUAGCAUAAUACAGUGCAA